UCUUGCCACCGCACUGGAGUCUGCCUAGAAACAAAGAACACAGCCUGGCGAAGUUGAUGCUGGCUCCCAAAGUGUCUGGUUUUUUGUUUUUUUUCUUUUUUUUCCCCCCCCCGCUUCUUUUCCUUCAUUUACUUGUGCCAUGGUUAAAAGCCUCGAGAUGUUUCCUUCAGUUAUUCCCAUGUGCCUGCUGAUGGAAACAUCCCCCCACCCCCCGCCUCGCCCCUUCUCCCCCCUCGCCCCUACCAGGCCAGGUUACGCAUUUUGGGAAGUGCAGCCAUGAUAGACAGAGCAAGUUCUCUCUCCCAUUUUGCCCCGGCCCCGCGGUGUGACAGCUCGCAGGAGGUGUGCCUUCCCUCCGGGAGCCACCCCCUUGCUGAAUCAUCGCCCAGCCAUGGCCGGACAGCCCGUCCGCCCGGGCAGCGGAGCAUUCCCCGGCCGAGCAUGAGGCGGUGGCGGGGCUGACGCGAGGCACAGAYCUGUUAACAUUCGGCUCAGGCGCGGGCGAGCGGCUGCGGGGAGAAAACCUUCCCCUUUCAUGGCAGCGGGAGCUGCGGAUGCAGUUUUGAGCUCAAAGGCAAGACGUGCGCUGCUGUAAGGAACAUCCCCUGCCUUUGAGGUUGCUGAAAAGUGCCUUUCCUGAAGCCACCGCUGCUUGGAUUUCUGUCUAGGGCUGCCUCUCUCUGCCCCUCGCCCCCCUCUCUGUUUAAUUCGGCGUUGCUUGCGGUCCGUGCCCUGACGGCGGCUCCUCCAGCCUUGCCAUUUUUUUUUUUUUUUUUUUUUUUUUGCUCCCCAUUUACACGCAGUUUGCUCAGCCAUUUUAUUUUUUUUUCCUUCCCCCGACUAUGUAGCAAAUAUUUAAAAGAAAAGAAAGAGGAAAAAAAAAAAUCAGACAUCCUUUUGCCUGUUUUGA